rnacentral:lncRNA from 1 species
CUCAGAGAUCUGCCCCAUUCUAUUAACUGGCUGUCUGCAAUCGCAGGAAAUGGAGGGCCUGUAAUUUGUUUAAUGAGUCCCGCAGGGGUGAUUUCCAGUUGCUUGCUGUUUUAAACCAUCUCGAAGUCAACAGGAUGGGACAUACAUCGUGGUGCCCAUACGCUAGCAUUUCCGUGACAUUCAGUGCUGGAAUUGACAUUUCUGAGUCAAAGGGCAGAUGCACUGAAAAUACUGAGCGAUGUCGCCCAAGUGCUUUGCACAGAGAACAGCCCGGAGCGUGAGUGCUGAUUUUCACUCCUGGGGAUACUCCUGCUCUCAAGAACAGAGCCCCCACCCACGCGGCCACCGUCCCCUGGCCAGUCACCGUAGCCUCGCGGACUUCAGUCAUUAGUUGCUGCUUUCCCUGAUGUUAUGAAAAAAAACCCGGAACGUUGGGCUCUCAGGACAGGAGCUGAUGUUCCAGCAGCAUCGUGGACUGAUUUCAUCGGGGCCCGGGGAAGACUGUGGAAAUGAGCACUGCAGGGAGAGCUCUUUGAUGUCUCCUGUGGAUCUCACAGCACGCUGCACAGACACGGGACACUGUGAGUGUGGAAAACCCAUUCGAAGUGUCUACUCUCCUGGGGCAGCAGGAUAGAGAAC